rnacentral:rRNA from 2 species
GCAGUCGAGCGAACUGAUUAGAAGCUUGCUUCUAUGACGUUAGCGGCGGACGGGUGAGUAACACGUGGGCAACCUGCCUGUAAGACUGGGAUAACUUCGGGAAACCGAAGCUAAUACCGGAUAGGAUCUUCUCCUUCAUGGGAGAUGAUUGAAAGAUGGUUUCGGCUAUCACUUACAGAUGGGCCCGCGGUGCAUUAGCUAGUUGGUGAGGUAACGGCUCACCAAGGCAACGAUGCAUAGCCGACCUGAGAGGGUGAUCGGCCACACUGGGACUGAGACACGGCCCAGACUCCUACGGGAGGCAGCAGUAGGGAAUCUUCCGCAAUGGACGAAAGUCUGACGGAGCAACGCCGCGUGAGUGAUGAAGGCUUUCGGGUCGUAAAACUCUGUUGUUAGGGAAGAACAAGUACGAGAGUAACUGCUCGUACCUUGACGGUACCUAACCAGAAAGCCACGGCUAACUACGUGCCAGCAGCCGCGGUAAUACGUAGGUGGCAAGCGUUAUCCGGAAUUAUUGGGCGUAAAGCGCGCGCAGGCGGUUUCUUAAGUCUGAUGUGAAAGCCCACGGCUCAACCGUGGAGGGUCAUUGGAAACUGGGGAACUUGAGUGCAGAAGAGAAA